AAAGCUCAAAUUUAAAAUCUGGCGGUCUUUGGCCGUCCGAGUUGUAGUCUGGAGAAGUGCUUUCCGCGCUGGACCGUGUAUAAGUCUCUUGGAACAGAGCGUCAUAGAGGGUGAGAAUCCCGUCUUUGACACGGACUACCAGUGCUUUGUGAUGCGCUCUCAAAGAGUCGAGUUGUUUGGGAAUGCAGCUCAAAAUGGGUGGUGAAUUCCAUCUAAAGCUAAAUAUUGGCGAGAGACCGAUAGCGAA
rnacentral:rRNA from 1 species